rnacentral:rRNA from 1 species
CCUANGGGUGGCUGCAGUCAAGAAUAUUCCUCAAUGGACGAAAGUCUGAAGGAGCGACGCCGCGUGCCAGAUGAAGCCCUUCGGGGUGUAAAUGGCUUUUUCCAGGGACGAACGUAAGUGACGGUACCUGGAGAAUAAGAGGUUGCUAACUCUGUGCCAGCAGCAGCGGUAAUACAGAGACCUCAAGCGUUAUCCGGAUUUAUUGGGCGUAAAGCGUCCGCAGGUGGCGGCGUAAGUCACUGGUCAAAUCUUCGGGCUCAACCCGGAGGCUGCCGGUGAUACUGCGUUGCUCGAGGACGGGAGAGGCGAGCGGAAUUGCUGGUGUAGUAGUAAAAUGCGUUAAUAUCAGCAAGAACACCAAAGGCGAAGGCAGCUCGCUGGAACGUUCCUGACACUCAUGGACGAAAGCGUGGGUAGCGAAAGGGAUUAGAUACCCUGNUANUC